GGCUCACUGCCGUAGAUUGGAGAAGAAUCGCCAGGGUUGCGUUGCGGUGUGCCCCGGUUCGAGACCGCGGCUAACGAGGGCGUGGCUGCCCCGUCGUUUCCAAGACCCCAUAAGCCAGCCGACUUCUCCAGUUACGGAGCGAGCCC
rnacentral:ncRNA from 1 species